CCAAUGCCUAAAGCGAGGAGGCGGGAUAAAAAAGCGAGGCCGAAGGUAGGCUGGCAGAUACGUUCGUUAGGUUACUCCUUUCUGCCUGUGGACGCCGCCGAGUAAGCAUCGUUAAAGUCUCCCCUCCCACCGCCGUCAUGUCUAAGUCAGAGUCUCCCAAAGAGCCUGAACAGCUGCGGAAGCUCUUCAUCGGAGGUCUGAGCUUUGAAACAACCGAUGAGAGUCUGAGGAGCCAUUUUGAGCAAUGGGGAACACUUACGGACUGUGUGGUAAUGAGAGAUCCGAACACGAAGCGCUCCAGAGGCUUUGGGUUUGUCACCUAUGCCACUGUGGAGGAGGUGGAUGCAGCCAUGAAUGCAAGGCCACACAAGGUGGAUGGAAGAGUUGUGGAACCAAAGAGGGCUGUCUCAAGAGAAGAUUCUCAAAGACCUGGUGCCCACUUAACUGUGAAAAAGAUUUUUGUUGGUGGCAUUAAAGAAGACACUGAAGAACAUCAUCUAAGAGAUUAUUUCGAACAGUAUGGGAAAAUCGAAGUGAUUGAGAUCAUGACUGACCGAGGCAGUGGCAAAAAGAGGGGUUUUGCUUUUGUAACAUUUGAUGACCAUGAUUCUGUAGACAAGAUUGUCAUUCAAAAAUACCAUACUGUGAAUGGCCACAACUGUGAAGUAAGGAAAGCGCUCUCUAAGCAAGAGAUGGCUAGUGCUUCAUCCAGCCAAAGAGGUCGAAGUGGUUCUGGAAACUUUGGUGGUGGUCGUGGAGGUGGUUUUGGUGGGAAUGACAACUUUGGUCGCGGAGGAAACUUCAGUGGUCGAGGUGGCUUUGGUGGCAGUCGAGGUGGUGGUGGAUAUGGUGGCAGUGGGGAUGGCUAUAACGGAUUUGGUAAUGAUGGUGGUUAUGGAGGAGGCGGCCCUGGUUACUCUGGAGGAAGCAGAGGCUAUGGAAGUGGUGGACAGGGUUAUGGAAACCAGGGCAGUGGCUAUGGCGGGAGUGGCAGCUAUGACAGCUAUAACAACGGAGGAGGCGGAGGCGGCUAUGGCGGUGGUAGUGGAAGCAACUUUGGAGGUGGCGGAAGCUAUAAUGAUUUUGGCAAUUACAACAAUCAAUCCUCAAAUUUUGGACCCAUGAAAGGAGGCAAUUUUGGAGGCAGAAGCUCUGGCCCUUAUGGUGGUGGAGGCCAAUACUUCGCCAAACCACGAAACCAAGGUGGCUAUGGUGGUUCCAGCAGCAGCAGCAGCUAUGGCAGUGGCAGAAGGUUUUAAUUACUGCCAGGAAACAAAGCUUAGCAGGAGAGGAGAGCCAGAGAAGUGACAGGGAAGCUACAGGUUACAACAGAUUUGUGAACUCAGCCAAGCACAGUGGUGGCAGGGCCUAGCUGCUACAAAGAAGACAUGUUUUAGACAAUACUCAUGUGUAUGGGCAAAAAAACUCGAGGACUGUAUUUGUGACUAAUUGUAUAACAGGUUAUUUUAGUUUCUGUUCUGUGGAAAGUGUAAAGCAUUCCAACAAAGGGUUUUAAUGUAGAUUUUUUUUUUUUUUUUUUUUUUGCACCCAUGCUGUUGAUUGCUAAAUGUAAUAGUCUGAUCAUGACGCUGAAUAAAUGUGUCUUUUUUUUAAAUGUGCUGUGUAAAGUUAGUCUACUCUGAAGCCAUCUUGGUAUACUACCCCAACAGUGUGAAGUUAGAAUUCCUUCAGGGUGAUGCCAGGUUCCAUUCGAAAUUUAUUUGCAAACUGCUUGGGCACAGAAGGCAUUGUCUCCACAAACCUUGGUGUAGUUGAACUGACAGUUAAUGUGUUGUGACCUGGAGUUCACCAUUAAAAGGUCACCCAAGCAAAGUCCUGGAGUUUAUUUGGUUAUUAAUAUGAUUGUUGGCACAUCCUAUGCAAUAUAUCUAAAUUGAAUUAUGGUAUCAGAUAAAAUUAUAGAUGGGAUUAAAGCUUGUGUAUCAUCCAUUAUCAUGUGUAAUCAAUAAACGAUUUAAUAUUCUCUUGAAUGGAAUGACAACUGUAUGGAUUUGGGACUGGCAGAGCUUUGGACUUCCCUACCCACUACCCCUCAUAAUGUUGAAUGCUUCUAUCACAAUUCAAGUUCAAAACUCUGCCAGAGAAUAGAAACCAGCUGUUGGCUAAUGCCACCCCAUAAGUCCACAGAUUAGAAGUGUUUGGGAGACCUUUUUAAACUGACCAGCACCAGUAAGAAUAUCUUAUUUUUAAUACAAAAACAGGCUUACCUUAAAGGAAAACAGCAGUUUUACUUGGUUCUGGUGGGUGGGUCCCUAAUAGAGGUUUAUAGAUUAACCAUACUAUUGAAUCUGUUUGGACAUUAAAAUUAUGGAGAUGGUGAGGAACCUUAUUAUAUUCAUGCAAACUGCAGUUUUCCUUUAAAUAUGGUACAUCACACAACCAUCCUAAAAUGUUAAUUGUAUAGAAAAUGAUUUUUAUUUAAAGCCUUUUACAGUUACUUAAUAUCCAAUCAUUGUUAUUUGUUACAUAGGUUCUUUUGAGCCCUCCCUUGGUACCCUCAAUUUCAGUGCCAUUGUACCUGGUAGCAUAGAGAAUUGUUUAUCACUAGGACUGUGUAUUCCAUCCCGUGGGUGUGUUACUUGGAAGUUUGGGGAGGAGGGUGGUGGGGGUGGAGGGGAGGCGGGUGGGAAAGCAUGGUUGAUAGUUCCAUGAGUUUGAUAUUGGCUGAGUUUGCAAUGGCAGGUGGAACCUUAACUAUUGAGGGAGUUUGCAGAUACCUCAGGAUUCGUGACAAUGCCUUGUAAAGAUCCAGGAGAGAUGUUCAGCUACUAGGAACUGCUAGCAAGUAUAGCGCGAAUGGCUCCGAGCUCAGACACUCUACAGCUGAGAGUAGACACUUGUGGUAUGUGGAGUACAGAUAAGCCAGGGGCAGGCCACGGAGGGAGUGAAGUUUCAGUGACCAUCGCAAGAAAGGAGGCAGACAAGAGUAAGGCACACCUGACUCUUAGGACUAGCAGUCAGAACCAGGAGGAAAGGUUUUAUUGCUAUGCUGGUAGGUAAGAACAGAUUUUACUUCCAUCCAUAUAGUGUUACCUAAAAUCCAGUUUUCUGUUAUAUUUUUCUUAAUGUAUUGAGCCAAUACUAGUCCAGUUAAGCUGAACUUGGUUUUUCUGGAGAUCAAUUGCUUUAAAUUGACACCCUAGACUUGGCUCCCAAAUGAAGGAAGUAAACACUAAUUCUUCUAUGACAAUAUAUUUUUGCCCUUUAAUUUUGAUUUAUUUCAUGCCUUCCUUUAAUCCAUUUCCUUAAAACAAUGGCUCAAAGUAAUGCAUUAGAAUCUUCCCCAAAACAUGGUGGGAGGGAGGGUGGACCAUUAAUUUUGGCGGGUGGGGGGUUUUACCCGGAGUUGGGACUUGGUCUCAGAAAAGCUAGUUCUAAAGGUUGUUUACUUUUCUAGGGAGGAGUCUGCUACUCCAGGCUAAUCAACUCUCUUUAAAAAAACAAAACAAAAAAAAAAAUACAAAAAAAAAAUACAAAAAAUAAUCAGAAACUCAUCUGUCCAAAUUUAUGGCUAAAAGCAACAUCCUUCCUUAAUGAGGACAACCUUUAUCUGAGCCACUGCCCCUCAUUUUCACUGCCAUGGGGUUAUUAGCUGCUAUGCAGCUUGAAUUAAUCAUUCAGUUUUAUGAAUGGACUUUUUAAUAAAAUGCUUUUAACUUG